rnacentral:tRNA from 1 species
GGCCAGCUAGCUCAGUUGGUUAGAGUGUGGUGCUCAUAAUGGCAAGGUCAUGGGUUCAAGCUCCAUCUUGGCCA